UCAGCACCCUAAGUGGUCAGUUGUCAAGGCUUCAUCCACCUGCAAGGAAGACUGAACUGAAGAGGAUUCAAUAUAAUUUUCUCUGGAUUAACAUGAUUUGAGGAUUUUUCUAGGCCAAAAAGGAAAAAAUGAUGAAGAAGAAAAAGUCUCACAUUUCAGUGAGAGUUUGGUGUCCAACAGCAAGAUGACCUUGAAGACACGUGUGACAGACACAGAAAGUCCAGAGCUCUAUAUUCCUGGAAAUACUUAAAACUAACAUGAACAGAUGGGAAAACUGAAGCUAAGAGGGUGAAUACCUUACCCAAGGCCGUACAACUAAGGGAUGAAGCUGUGAUAUGAACACAGGCUGUUUUAUUCUGGAAACACAGUCAUAACCAGA